rnacentral:sRNA from 1 species
UGCGCCGACAUCCGCCAAUAAUGGUGGAGG